GACGAACGCUGGCGGCGUGCUUAACACAUGCAAGUCGAACGGUAAGGCUCCAGCUUGCUGGGGUACACGAGUGGCGAACGGGUGAGUAACACGUGGGUGACCUGCCCUGCACUUCGGGAUAAGCCUGGGAAACUGGGUCUAAUACCGGAUAGGACCAUGGUGUGGAUACUGUGGUGGACAGUUUUUUCGGUGUGGGAUGGGCCCGCGGCCUAUCAGCUUGUUGGUGGGGUAAUGGCCUACCAAGGCGGCGACGGGUAGCCGGCCUGAGAGGGUGGACGGCCACAUUGGGACUGAGACACGGCCCAGACUCCUACGGGAGGCAGCAGUGGGGAAUAUUGCACAAUGGGCGGAAGCCUGAUGCAGCGACGCCGCGUGGGGGAUGACGGCCUUCGGGUUGUAAACUCCUUUCACCAUCGACGAAGGGUUUCUGACGGUAGAUGGAGAAGAAGCACCGGCUAGCUACGUG
rnacentral:rRNA from 1 species